rnacentral:rRNA from 1 species
AAGUGAGUGGCGAACGGGUGAGUAACACGUGGGUAACCUGCCCAGAAGUAGGGGAUAACACCUGGAAACAGAUGCUAAUACCGUAUAACAGAGAAAACCGCAUGGUUUUCUUUUAAAAGAUGGCUCUGCUAUCACUUCUGGAUGGACCCGCGGCGUAUUAGCUAGUUGGUGAGGUAAAGGCUCACCAAGGCAGUGAUACGUAGCCGACCUGAGAGGGUAAUCGGCCACAUUGGGACUGAGACACGGCCCAGACUCCUACGGGAGGCAGCAGUAGGGAAUCUUCCACAAUGGACGCAAGUCUGAUGGAGCAACGCCGCGUGAGUGAAGAAGGGUUUCGGCUCGUAAAGCUCUGUUGUUAAAGAAGAACGUGGGUAAGAGUAACUGUUUACCCAGUGACGGUAUUUAACCAGAAAGCCACGGCUAACUACGUGCCAGCAGCCGCGGUAAUACGUAGGUGGCAAGCGUUAUCCGGAUUUAUUGGACGUAAAGCGAGCGCAGGCGGUCUUUUAAGUCUAAUGUGAAAGCCUUCGGCUCAACCGAAGAAGUGCAUUGGAAACUGGGAGACUUGAGUGCAGAAGAGGACAGUGGAACUCCAUGUGUAGCGGUGAAAUGCGUAGAUAUAUGGAAGAACACCAGUGGCGAAGGCGGCUGUCUGGUCUGCAACUGACGCUGAGGCUCGAAAGCAUGGGUAGCGAACAGGAUUAGAUACCCUGGUAGUCCAUGCCGUAAACGAUGAUUACUAAGUGUUGGAGGGUUUCCGCCCUUCAGUGCUGCAGCUAACGCAUUAAGUAAUCCGCCUGGGGAGUACGACCGCAAGGUUGAAACUCAAAAGAAUUGACGGGGGCCCGCACAAGCGGUGGAGCAUGUGGUUUAAUUCGAAGCUACGCGAAGAACCUUACCAGGUCUUGACAUCUUCUGACAGUCUAAGAGAUUAGAGGUUCCCUUCGGGGACAGAAUGACAGGUGGUGCAUGGUUGUCGUCAGCUCGUGUCGUGAGAUGUUGGGUUAAGUCCCGCAACGAGCGCAACCCUUAUUACUAGUUGCCAGCAUUAAGUUGGGCACUUUAGUGAGACUGCCGGUGACAAACCGGAGGAAGGUGGGGAAGACGUCAAAUCAUCAUGCCCCUUAUGACCUGGGCUACACACGUGCUACAAUGGAUGGUACAACGAGUCGCGAAACCGCGAGGUUAAGCUAAUCUUUUAAAACCAUUCUCAGUUCGGACUGUAGGUUGCAACUCGCCUACACGAAGUCGGAAUCGCUAGUA